GGUCAAUGAUGUGUUGGCAUGUAUUACCUGAAUUUACUGUGAUGUGUAAUAUCACUUGAAGCUCUAGAAUUACGCUGAGGCCUU
ensembl:snoRNA SNORD45A small nucleolar RNA, C/D box 45A